UAUGAAUUGUGCCAGCAGCCGCGGUAAUACGUAGGGGGCAAGCGUUAUCCGGAUUUACUGGGUGUAAAGGGAGCGUAGACGGAGCAGCAAGUCUGAUGUGAAAACCCGGGGCUCAACCCCGGGACUGCAUUGGAAACUGUUGAUCUGGAGUGCCGGAGAGGUAAGCGGAAUUCCUAGUGUAGCGGUGAAAUGCGUAGAUAUUAGGAGGAACACCAGUGGCGAAGGCGGCUUACUGGACGGUAACUGACGUUGAGGCUCGAAAGCGUGGGGAGCAAACAGG
rnacentral:rRNA from 1 species